GCCUUCUUUCUCUGUUUCACUGACUCCCGCUGCUGCCUGAUCAGAAAUGCUGAGUCAGUCCUGUGCUAGCAGCUGAAAAGCCGAGUCAGACUGAGGACGUCUCCUUCAAGCCUGCCAAGGAGAAGACCUCAGCUUUUAAGGGCCAGUCUGCCUUGAUAACUGCAUGCUUAGAAUUGGCCAGAGACCAAGCUGUCUGUCUGUAUAACUGUCAGGGAUCUAACAAGGGCAUGGAAUUAAUUUAGCAUUCUAGCAGGUAAAAGGGGUUAGCAUAUAAAUAUGUAACUAUCCACCAUUGCCACAUCAACUGCUAGGCCUCCUGCAGUAGGAAGCGUCUCCAACUGGUGCUUUUGGAUGGAAGACAGGAAUCUUGCUUACUUUCCUUUAGAAUCGGGGGAGUGGGGGAGCGAUAGUUAGACCAAAUGUUUCAGUUUUGCAAAUCUGGAUUCUGUACAUGCGGGCAGCUAUACCAAACCUGGCAUGCUUUUGCUGUAAUUGUGAUGUUUUGCUCAUUUUGUUUUAGUUGCUGUUUUGUUAACGGUGUUUUAUAGAUUGUAAUUGUUUGAUUGAUUUGUUCAUUGUUCUAUGCGAUUCAUGUUGUAUCUUUUAUUAUGUUAUGUGUAGACCACUUUGAGAUUCAUUUGAAUGAAACUACAAUCGAAAUACAAUAAAUCAAACCAAAUCGUCAUGUUCAUCCUCCAACCGGGAAAGCUUUCUUGCUGUCAAGCUACAUCAGGAGCAUUAUGGAUAAAGGUUUUAAGCCUUUCUAACCAAACUAUCUGCAUUCUCACAUUUUAUUUUACUUUCUUACCAGGCCAUCGCGCCAAAUUUGGCCCUAUCAGGACUUGUGGUGUUUCUUGCUUGCUUGUUUUACAUCUGUGACAGCAAUGAAGUAUGUAAACAAUUUUCAGGCUAGUUAACCCAUGAUGCAGUGUGAAUUCAACCAAGUAUAUAUGUAUGACAGCAUGUGGAACUCCCGGAAAAGCAGUCACUGAAUGGAUGAUGCAGAAACUCUUCCCAAUGAAUAAAAAUCUGAAUUCCUCCGAUUUGCACACAAGUAACCGGCACAACUAGUCUUGGACUUGUUCACUGUAUUUCAAGUGUUCAGGCACGAGUUCUGCUGCUUUUGUAGCUGAAACAGCACCAUCCAUUCACAGGAGCAAGGAUAUCAGCAGGCGUUGAGGAACCCCCAGGUUUGCAGAAGUGCAUAAAGAAACUCUUUAGGAAAAACUACAGCAGAAGAGGCCUAAAAUUGGCCUGUUGGAGGCUCAGUGGCCAUGGAAUCUUGACCGACUGUUUUGUUAAGGGGGGAGGCAGGAUGCAGGGAAAUGGAAGGGAGUAUCAUCGAGAGAGGGUUGGCUGGCUGACUCGGAACAGUGAACAGGAAAAAUUCACACUGCAACGUUUUGUUGCAGCCCCCCCCGACUCAUAAGAUCUCUAAAUCGGCUUCAACCCAAGUACUUCUGCUGAACAAAUUGGGCCGUUGCAGCGAUUGCCGCAGGGUUGCAGGGUUGCAAAACGCUGCUAAAUUUGAAGGCAUUUCUUGCCAUUUUGCUGUCACAUUAAGGUCACAGCUGUCACAGCAGUUUAGUAGCGUAACUGCAGCAUGCAUGCCCUUAAAAUACCACAUCUCUUAAAAAUGUGGUGCAUUGCAGCAAUCUAGUAUUCUUAGUGAGCUCAAGCAGUUUGGGAACAGCCUUAGGGAGUUGUGGGUCUCGGGGCAAGCAGAUUUCCUCAGCAUGUGAUUGGAUGAUACUUUCACGGGGGGGGGGGGUGGCGAGCAGAAAAAGCGUUAAGGGUCUCCACUGAAAUUCAAGUAGGCUGGUGACAUAAUCUGAAACCAGUAGAAGGUCCAGUGGACAGAAGGUGGGGUUUUCCAGGCCCAACAUAGUCCUUUGCCCUUGUUCACAACUAGUGAAAGCAUGUGUGUCCUUUAGGGGCACAGCUACCCCAUUCAGGACCAGGGAGUCCCCCACACCUGCCCUCCCCCUGCCCCCCAAGAGACAGUGCUUCGGUCUUGUUGGGAUUCAACCUCAAUCCAUGGACCGCCAAUGGAUGCUAAAAAGGCAGCAGAAAUAAUGGCACCUGCCUUUCAAGGGAAGGAAUUCCACAGGGUAGAUGCCACAACUCUAAAGGCCCGAUUCCUCUCCUGAUAUGAUGGAUAUCUACAGGAGGUCCUCACAUGCAGAACACAGUGAUCAAGGAUUAUAUAAAACAGUGGGACAAUAUUUCAGGAGUCCUGGUCCCAUUGUGCUUUGCACACCAGGAAUCAGGACCUUGAACUUAACCUGGUAGCUACGAUACAUGUGCACACUCAAAACACACAUACACACACAGUGCCAGUUAGCUUUGGAGACACUUUGCUACACAAUAAAGCACUCCAGGUGUUUCCGGAAUCGAAUAAAAGAACCCAAUCCUAAUCACUGUUUACUUGGAAGUCUCAUUGUUCUCACUGCUUAGGAUGGUAGCCAAAAAUCACACCACAUGUUCAAACGUUUUGAAAAGGCAGGGUGGGGGUUGAAGGGAGAGGAAGAAGAAGGAAGGCAGAAGGAAAACGGAACACUGGGCCACAUUGCGUAAACUUCUGAAGCCGCCUUGUUCCUGAAUUAGGAACAAGGGGGGGGCGGGAAUGCUUGUCAUGAGCAAACUUCCAGAUGACCUCUUUAUUGAGCAUUCAUCCUGAUCUUUCUGCACAAAGUGCAAGUGGUAGAUACACCACGUCCGGUCCUUUAUUGAGCAUUUAUUCUGAUUUGUUUAGCGUGAGGUUCUAUGAUAAUGAGCUUUCAUUCCGCACCAAUCCUGAUUUGCUCGUGGGGUGUUUACAUGUCUUCUUCCUCCAGGCUGCCUCAAAACUGCCAGUGGCUCGCAGGAGGGAUACAAGUACUAACCAGAAUGUUUAGGUUCCUUGGAUUCUGCCAUAGGGUGAAGGUCCGUCCCCCCAUUGCAUCUAGCUCUACUGUUUUAUCCCUGUAGACCUGACCCUACCAUUUGGCAGCUUGAGGCACCUUGUCAAGUGGCAGAUGCCGGGAGAGUGGGAGUCAGUGCCAAGUUGCUUGUGGGCAGAGCUGUGCGAGCCACCCAGCCUGCCAGGUGCCUCCUCUGGCAGCCUGUUCUCCUCGGCUGAGAACACUGUCCUGUUGUCAGUUGCUGAAGCUGCCAGGCUCCAGCCAGCUUCUAUAUACACAGGAUGAUGUGGAGAGAGGCCACCAUAUUGCCCUUCUUGUCAGGCAGCAAAAUGGCUUGGGUUAGCCCUGCAGUUCUCAGGCUGGCUACAUUUGGGUGGUACAGCCAGUGCCGGAUUUAUGUAUAAGCUAAACAAGCUAUAGCUUAGGGCCCCACUCUCUCUUGGGGGCCACCCAAAAAAAAUUAAAGGAAAAAACUGGAUGAACAUUUCC